GGCUGAGCUUGGACCUUGCACUUCCUGGGAGCCAAGGACCAAAUCCCUGCUGGGGAAGAGCGGCAGCGGGGUGCCCCCCACCCCGGGCAGCAGGGCAGGGAGCCAGAAGGAGGAGGAAGGAGCCUGGCCUCCUCCAUCACAGCCUAGGCAGAGACUGCACAGUGGAGAUGAUGAAGACGGGAGAGUCCAGACCCUGCAGGUCCUGCAGCAGCUGGCAGGUGCUUCAGGACCUGGCAGCAGGUCGUGCAGAGGGGCCCAGUGCCAGGGCCACCUGGCUGAAUGUCCUGUGAGGAUCCUGAGGAGGUGCCUGGGACAGUGGGUGCGUGCGGAUGAGGCAACUCCGAGCCUCAGAGGAGGCGAAGGUGACCCAGCUGUCCCUCUGGCGGCAGAGGAGGGGGACCUGGCCCUCUGGAGCUCAGCCCACGACGUGGAGACAGUGGCCUGGGUGUCCCUGCAUGGUGCCUGCUGGAGACUGGCCCUCCGCCGGGCCCUGCUGCUCUGGGGCACGCAGCUGUCUCAGGGCCAGCGGGCCAAAUGGCAGCUGGGAGGCGCCAGGGACACUGAGGCAUUGAGCGAGC
ensembl:lncRNA